UGGGGCCUUCCUCCUAUAAAUCAAAAGCUUUGCAACACUGCUGGAAAACUGAAUGCUCUGUGUUUCAUUUUCCAAGCAGGCAGCCACUUGGGUAGGUAACACAGGCUGCUUUUUUGGAGAACGGGCAAGCCCUGCUGUCAGCAGGAAGUCGGCGGGACACCUGCUCCAACAACCAGCCCCUGUGACCCAGCAGUUCCUCCUGUCCUGGUCAGGCCUGACCACCCACCACACAACCUCAUGGUGAAUCUGGUAGUUCUCUUCACAGCCAUCGUCACCAUGGUAACACAGUCAUGAGGCAUGAGACUGUUUCUCCACUGCUGGAUGUCUGUCUAGGACCUGAAUCCCUCCCUCUGGAAACCCUGCUCCAACAUGAGUGGUCCUGGUCCUGAUUCUGCUGCUAGAACUCCGUAAUGCUUCCUGCCUGGAUCUUUCAAGACUGUCUGAUGAUGCUCUUCUCUGGGGUGGACCAUUCUCUCUACGUGCUGCAUCUGUUGGAGGUGACUGUACCCGAUUAGCAUGGCUGAACCCACCCCAAACACCUGCUCCCACCCUCAAUUCCAUGUGUGUUUACUCUGGGCCCUGACUUCUCCAGGGCUGCUCCACCCACACCCAGCUGAUCUGACCUGGUGGUCCUCUGGUACCUGACAUGCCUCUCCGUAGCGGUUUUAAACAAACUCG
rnacentral:lncRNA from 1 species